AGGAGGUGUCUGAGAGCCCAAAGCUGAGUCAUUGCUUCUCUUUGAAACUAAUGAGAGAAGAACUGUCUAUGCAUUGUUGAGAUAUCAGAAGUACAUGCUAGAAUGCUAUGCUGUGCACACUAUGAUACAUGCAUGUAUAAUGUACAGAUUAGGAUUGAGAAGAUAGGAAAUAACACACGUGACCUCUAUACUGUGCAUUAAUGUUUACUUUUAUAUUUGUCUCCCCACAGGGUUAGCAAAGUCAAGAACCCCUUCAUUACAGAGGAUCAAUCACUCUGUUACAGCAACAACAGUUUAUAUGGUACAUUUACAAGUGGCAUUAUCUGAAUAUCUGUCAAUCACAUGGCAACCCUUCGUUCUUUCUAGUGAAGCCUACCAGGAGGAACAGAAGGAUGUGCAGGAGUGACUGGAACACCAACAGGCUGCACAAGGAUUGCUGUAAUGGCAGACUGCAACUAAAUAAUGGAUGCAGAGACAGCAAGAGUGCAUCUGAGAAUCGAAAAUUCUAUGGCCAUUUUCUUGACAUUGUACCAAUAAUCUCCAGUUAAUAUAUACAAAAUAGUCCCCACCUUGCAUCCCCGGUAUAGUUCCUUCAAUUUAUCUCCGACUGCCUUUUCCUCAAUUCACAUUUUCCCAGAAUUAUGCAUCUUUUUUUUUUAGCUAUAUUUCUCCAGUAUAUCUGUCCAAACCAUAUGUCAUCAUGUUCCCCCAAUGCAUAUGUGCCAAUUGUAUUCCCCAUGUAUUAAUUCAUAUACAAUGUUCCUCCAGUUCUUCUACUCUCAUCUCUACCAAUACCGUUUGUUACAUUCCUGGUUAAUAUCUCUCUAUAUAUCCCUCUCCAGAGCAUCUCUCCCAGCCACACCACUUCCCAGUAAUUCCUCCCGGUCAUACCCCACAGUACAUCACCCCGCAUUGGCGGAUCCGGG
rnacentral:lncRNA from 1 species